rnacentral:rRNA from 1 species
CACGUAGGGUGCGAGCGUUGUCCGGAAUUAUUGGGCGUAAAGAGCUCGUAGGCGGUGUGUCGCGUCGGCCGUGAAAACCUGCAGCUUAACUGUGGGCUUGCGGUCGAUACGGGCAUCACUGGAGUUCGGCAGGGGAGACUGGAAUUCCUGGUGUAGCGGUGAAAUGCGCAGAUAUCAGGAGGAACACCAGUAGCGAAGGCGGCACUCUGGGCCGGUACUGACGCUGAGGAGCGAAAGCGUGGGGAGCGAACAGG